GAUAAAGGAUAUUUUAACCGGUAGCAAUAUUUCUCAAUUUUGUUGUUUUUGUUUCUCAAUUUUGUUGUAUUGUGUAACAAGAAAUUGUAUAAUUUAAUAGCUUAUUUUAUAUUCUAAAUAGUAGUUUAUUUCAUGACAUUUUACUCUUUUAGCUUUGACCGUUGUAUUUAAAGGCAUUGUGCCUCAUUUGAAACUUAACCAAUCAAAUAUUCAACAAUAAUCUUCUUGCCUCAAACUCUUUCAUUCAAUAUUAUAUUAUGCUUGCAUAAUCUCUUAUUGGUAACGGAUUCUAAUCUAAAUCAUUGGAUCUCAAAUCUUAGGAAAAGAAAUCCUUGUUCACCAAGAAAGGAACAAUAUUAUAGUCCUAUAAUCAAUAAAUCUCAAUAAUUCAUAUUCAAAACCGUAGAGCACAAACAACACCAGUAAAUUCAUUAUAAUUUAAGAUUCAAUUACAUUGUGCACAAGCAAAUACUCCUACAAAACACCUCAUCCACAAAUUAAGUAAUAAUACAAUCCACAUAGACAUAGUCAUACAAUAUAAUUAUGUUCAUAGCCAUAAUAAAAGGUCUUUAAGAAGCAACUGGUUAAGGGACAUUUCCCCGCCACAACAUAGUUCCUACA
rnacentral:lncRNA from 1 species